rnacentral:misc_RNA from 1 species
CCAAGGCGUUCCACUGCUGGUAUCAUCAUCCGCACACGCAAUGAAUCAUUGUUUUUUGGAAAAUAAAAAAAUAGGAACGACAACAAUCAAAAACUUAUAUAUCGGAUAGAGGAAUGCCGUCAGAUGCCGAUCAUCAGGUGGACAUUAAAAUUUUCAGCGAAACAAAGUGUAACAUUAUAAAACAAGACAUCAUGUCAAUGUCCAACAAUGAAUUCCAGGAGUUUUUUAACGACCAAGUAUUCGGUACUUCCCUCGCAGAAGCUGCAUGUAACCAUGGUAACAGUAUCAACAAUCAAGAUUCAUCGGUUGGAACAGAUCACCAAAUAUCUUCCAAUGCAAGCAAUGUUGCCAAUAUGAGUGGGAUCAAUGGGACAGACGAAUCUUCCAGUCUCAAUAUGCAGAGGUCAACAGACAGCUAUUUCAUAACUGUCUCGUCACCAGACCAGGUGUCUGCCAUGCAGUCUUUAUUUCCUUCCACCCAGAGUUCUUCUAGUCACGGUGCCACAGAUAUGUUACUGGCAUCAGCGAGCACACAGAGAAAUACUUUAAUGGACAACGUGUCGACAUUGUCAAACACGCAGUGUAUUUCUUCGAACAUACAGACAGCAGAUAAUGUAGCCGAUGCCUUGACUACUCAGACUGUUAGCAUGAUGGAAAACAAUGCAAGAAACGGUUGUCCGCAGCAACCCGCUAAUCAAAAUAAUCAAAUGAAUUCUCAGCAAAUUGUGAUGGACAAUUCUGGCGGCAACACGAAUGUGAAGACUAUGGUGUCUGCCGACUCCUUAAACCUGCAGCAGAAUGUGAAUUCGCAGAAUGUGGUGAGGAAUCACGGGGAGUUAAAUUCACCAAAUGUUGCUGUGGCGGCAGUUGGCAGUUCGAAUGUGCAGGAUGUUGCCAAAGGGAUACUAAACGCCCAGAACCUGUUGAGUGGAAACGUGAUUUCCAUCCCUCUUCAGAGUCCGUCUGGCGCGAACCGGAUCAGUAUUAACACGUGCAGUGAAAAUCAAGGUAUUGGUAUGUUGGAUCAUACCCAAGUUAAAGCCCCAAUUUUUGUGAAUAUCCAUAACAUGAAUGCUUCCCAGACGGUUACUGCUCAUGGUCAUGUCGACUCGUCUCCAAAUGGCUCUCAAGGCAUGAAUCCUUCCGUGUCGGUAGGCAGCCAUGAUACAUCACCGGCUAAUAUUGGAUUGGCUGUUGAUAGAAGUCUGCCUAAUGUGUUCCUGAUUCAGGGCACUGCCAAUUCGCCCAAAAUGUUGAUUGUGAAUGCGGGGAAAAAUAACCUUGGACAAAUUCCAUGUACUUUUGCCAGUCCAGCCCAGCUUAACAUCAAGGAUGUGUUGUCGUUGGAUACUGGCAGUCAGGUUAAUGUAGGCGAGCCAAACAUUGCUUUGAAUAAUGAACAGAAUCUGUUUCUUCAUAAACUUCUGAUGGAAGCUCGAGGAAGUUUGAACAUUGUUUGCAGCAAAGAAAACAGUCAGCCUGUUAAUUCACCUCACGAAACUGUUAGUGCGCCCUCGCAGUGCAUGGAUUUGGGUAGCCGCGAGAAUGUUAAUUUGAUCAAUAUGUUGUCGAAUAAUAUUGGUAUUUUGAACUCUGUAUCUGUGCCAGUGAACUCGCUUCCUAAAAACACUUCAGGUGCCGAAGGUGUUGGUGUCCAAGCACAACACAUGGAUUUAGGAAGUCAGGAUAACUUAAACCUGACACAGUUACUGUCAAAUAAUCACGGAAAUUUGAAUUCUCAAUCCUCGACGAUGAACACACCAAAGAACCCUGGACAAGGAGAUGGUGGUGGUGGCACACAUUUACACUGCAUGGAUCUUGGAAACCAUGAAAACAUCAGUCUCUCAAAUCUUCUUUCAAACAAUAAUGGGAACAUGAAUUCCCCACAAGUUCAAGAGAGAAUGCAAGCGGGGGAGAAUCCUUCCCAGGGGGGUGAUGUUCCACAGAAUGUUGGAGGCAUGCAGCAGCGAAUGGAUCUUGGCAGUCAGGAUAACCUCAAUUUGAGUAGUCUCCUUGCGGUGGAUAAUAAAGGAAAUUUGAAUUCCGAAUCAAUUCAAGUGAUCGCACAAUCGGCCAGGCCUCCCGAACAGAUCCUGACGCCCACCAAAGAUGAAGUAAAAUCCCCCGUCAUGAUGACGAAUACGAACACCGAUAUGACGCAGCAGGGAUCCAAUCAGAUGACAGCUCACAAGCAGGUGGGUGAGCACGGGAUGGAGUCGAGAAGUCCGACUGCGUCGCAUGUGAUGAUUAACAAUCAAGGUCAGCUAGUCUCGGAAAACAUGGAGGUCUGCCAGCAAGGAAACAUGUCUGUGCAGCACGUGCUAAACCAGGCCGGGCAAAACGUAGCCAAUCAGAAUGUUGGAAAUCAGAGUAUGGCUGGUGAGAACAUGUCUGGGCAGAGUAUGGCCGGUCAGAACAUAUCUGGCCAGAAUAUGGCUGGGCAGAACACAGAUGGACAACAGUUGGAGAGUAGAAUGGAGAUCAGCAUUCAAGAGAAUUACAGUGCUAAUCAAGCUAAUGGGAAGAAUGUGUCGCAGGCUUCAACAAAUUCGGCAACCAGUGGGACGGUCAACACAACCGUAGGCUUGCCAUUAGACCUUCACAACAUAUGCCUGGACACGUUUCAGAAUGUUCCACUGAAUAUGGGCAACCUCAAUCAACAGGCCGUUUUCUCGACAGCCACCUCAUCCUCGCUGAAUGUCCAGCUGAAAUCGCCCACCAGUGCUGGAGCCAACCAGCAUCCCAUGUCGACGACUUCCGUGUUCUCAACACAAACGAACAACUUCAACAGUAUCUCCAUCUCAGAAACGACCGACAACGCGAUCACACAACUUAAUAAUCUCGGUGCUGAAAGCCAGCUGAGCGAACCGAGUUUAAAGCUGUCCCAGCCAUGUACACUGAACGUGUCUUCACAAGGGUCCAUGCUUCGCCGAAUGCUGACGGGUGACUGCGACGACGCUUCCCUCUCCCCUAGUUCUCCCAUAUCUAAUCCCGAAAACCAGUUGGAGUCGCCCAGGGACCUCUCGUCGCCUAACAACUUCUUCCAGGACAUGACCACUCAGUCGACGUUGAUCAACAAUGCAGAGAAGCUGCACCUCAGCUCGGAUGCGUACGUUAAAGACGAAACCAGCGACGGUUUCAAUCUCAUGAUGACGCCAUUCCAGACCGAAGACAAUACAAAUGUUCCAAACAAAAUUCACAAAGGUUGCCGAGACGACGAUGCCCAUUCGUCAAGGUCCGACCCUAUCUGUGUCGACAAGUUGUUCGAUGCCAAUGGAGCGUCGUCGACGACUAGUUACGAGUUCACAAAGUUUGGCUCGGACAUUCCAGGUGUUUUCAAGUUCGGUCUUUCCAGCAAAGCUAGUACUGUGAGUACAAGCUGUACAAACACCAGGGCUGUUCCUUCGAUUGUUAUGAAUAUGUCUCAGGGUGGUGAAUCGCUGAAAUCUGUGGUCCCCCCACCUGCUAAGCCUGCAGGACACAGCAAGAAGGUCAAGGAUCCUAGUCUGAGCAGUCAUUUUCCGAACAAAAGUCAUGGCUACGAACUACAGAUCGUCAGUCAACCGGAAGAACAACAUCGCGCCCGGUAUUUAACUGAGGGAAGUCGCGGAGCAGUCAAAGACAGGUCGCAACAGAAUUAUCCAAUUGUUAAGUUGCAUGGCCACAAUGAGGCGGUUAAGCUCCAAGUGUUUGUUGGAUGCGAGACGGGGCGAAUGAAGCCGCAUGGUUUCUAUCAAGCAUGCAAAGUGGCUGGAAAGAACUCGACUCCGUGUAUUGAGAAAGAAAUCGAUGGCACCAUGGUUAUUGAGUUGGACAUUAAUACAUCCAGCGACAUGACAGCAAGUGUGGACUGUGUUGGAAUUCUGAAGUUGAGAAAUGCUGAUGUUGAGAAGAGAAUUGGCGUCACCAAGGCACGAGCAAAGAAAAAGAACAGCACGCGUGCACGCCUGGUUUUCCGCACGACCUUCCAGAAGUCCGAUGGACACUACAUCACUCUACAGGCUGCAUCUACACCCAUUCUUUGUACUCAGCCUAUUGGACAGCCUGAGAUUCUGAGGGUGAGUCUGCUCGAGGCGACUGUCGACGGAGGACAGAGCAUGUUCAUUAUCGGGAAGAAUUUCCUGAAAAACACGCAGGUCUUCUUCCAGGAGGUCGUCAUGGAGAACGGAACCAUUCUCUGGGAGAAAGAGGCCAGCAUUGAGCAAGAAUUCUUUCAACAGACACAUUUGAUCUGUACGGUCCCCGAGUAUCAUAACGCAAGUGUUGACAAACCCGUUGACAUGCAGAUCAUUGUGAAAUGUCGUGGUAAGCUGAGCGAUCCUCACGAGUUUAUGUACAAGCCAUACCUGCGGAAUCUGGGCUGAAUCGAGUGUCAGAGUUAAGACUCUGUGUAUUAGAGUCUGCAGUCUGUCGGUUGCAUGUAGCCAUUUAGUGGCUCACAGAUCAUAUAGCAGUGCCGCCAACAAUAAAAGUGGAAGAUCC